GACGAACGCUGGCGGCGUGCUUAACACAUGCAAGUCGAACGAGAAACCGGAGCUUGCUCCGGUGGAAAGUGGCGAACGGGUGAGUAACACGUGAGAAAUCUGCCCUAGAGACCGGGACAACCUUCGGAAACGAUGGCUAAUACCGGAUACCCCCACUUGGUCGCAUGGCCGAGUGAGGAAACGCUCAGGUGCUCUAGGAGGAUCUCGCGGCCUAUCAGCUAGUUGGUGGGGUAACGGCCUACCAAGGCAUCGACGGGUAGCUGGUCUGAGAGGACGAUCAGCCACACUGGGACUGAGACACGGCCCAGACUCCUACGGGAGGCAGCAGUGGGGAAUAUUGCGCAAUGGGCGAAAGCCUGACGCAGCAACGCCGCGUGAGGGAUGACGGCUUUCGGGUUGUAAACCUCUUUCAGUGAUGACGAAAAUGACGGUAGUCACAGAAGAAGCUCCGGCCAACUACGUGCCAGCAGCCGCGGUAACACGUAGGGAGCGAGCGUUGUCCGGAUUUAUUGGGCGUAAAGAGCUCGUAGGCGG
rnacentral:rRNA from 1 species